CAGGCGGGAUUCUGCAGUGACCGCCGGGAAGUGUAGUCUCUUCCGGUCUCCUUUUCUUCCUCCCGACUAAGACGUUACCAGGGCUUUGCUUCUGAGAGGGAAGGAUUUGAGAAACUUUGCCAAGAUUAAGACUUUGAGGAGGUGCCUGACAGAGGACUUGGAAAGCAGUAGUGUUUCGAGACACCAGAAAACUCAGUGUGGUGCUAAAAGAGGAUGUAACUCAGCGGCUUCUCAGCAAGAGCCCUUGGCCCAGAGCACAGGACAGCCCAGUUGCCCUACAAGCUGGGGCACCUUCAGGAAGCCCUAUGCAGCCUGACAGGGCGUGGAUUCUCAGCCCUGACAGCCUGGCGUGCGGAGCUACAGGAGCCCUACUGGUUGGAAAAAAAGACUUCGAAAAGCGGCCAAAACAAUGCCUGGCACAUAGCGGGUCCCCGAUAAAUGGUGGCUGGUAGGACUGUGUUUUGUUUUGUUUUGUUUUGUUUUUAACAAAAAGCCAAUUCAAAUGGGGAGAGUUGAACAAUCACAUGUAACUUGAACCUUCCUCCAACUCAAAUCGAUUUCUCCCUCUGUCUACACACACACACACACACACACACACACACAUACACGACAGGCACCUGUGUGUACCUUCCUUCGUAUAGCCAAGUAAAAUCUUGCUGCUCCAGUUACAGAUUUACUGGCUCCCUCUUUGCAACCCUUCAAAUGCAAAGUUAUUUCCCAGGAAGGGGAGGAGAUGCUAACAUCUGUCCACACUCCCCUUCCCAGCCCGUCCAGCUGUGUAAAGCUUACGCUUGAAGCACGGGGCUCCCACACCUGCUCCCUUUUCUUUGCCAGGGGGUACGCUGGCGGGGCGGGCAGCCCGGGAUCCACCGCCUCUCCUGCCCCGUGAACGCCACCUUUUGGAUUCUGCUGUAGUGUCAUGGAUGUCUCACUGCUGCUGCUGUCAGCAAGCGCGGAUCCCUUCCUGGCUGGAGGGGUGCUGAGGAUGGCGCAGGGCUGUUCUGGAGCUCCACAGAGAAAGGACCAGGUCCCUGACUCUGAUGUAACUUGACUCUAAGAGGGGAAUGCAUGGACAGGGUCUUGCGCACUGCAUUACAAAAACAUCUUUCCAGCCAGAGCAUCCAGUGCUGUCACCCUACAAGGCCGGAUGGAGUUGCUUCCACAGAGAAGUGCUGCCCAUUGGAGUUGUGCCGUGCUACCCUCUGCUCAACAGCAGCUUCACAAUGUGUCACAAAGAAUCCUCCUGCAAGUGGGAACUUUUGGGAAAAAAGGAAAGCACAUUUCUUUGUAAAAUACUCUAGAAUACUUGGAGAAUAUUGUACACACGUAGCUGCUCACAGGGCCUGCAAGAAAGGGUAUUUGCACUUAAAAAAAAAACAAAAACAAAAACAUAAUAACCAGGCUGGGGAUUUAGCU